rnacentral:rRNA from 1 species
CAGUCGCCGCGGGAAUACGUAGGUGGCAAGCGUUGUCCGGAAUUAUUGGGCGUAAAGGGCUCGCAGGCGGUUUCUUAAGUCUGAUGUGAAAGCCCCCGGCUCAACCGGGGAGGGUCAUUGGAAACUGGGAAACUUGAGUGCAGAAGAGGAGAGUGGAAUUCCACGUGUAGCGGUGAAAUGCGUAGAGAUGUGGAGGAACACCAGUGGCGAAGGCGACUCUCUGGUCUGUAACUGACGCUGAGGAGCGAAAGCGUGGGGAGCGAACAGGAUUAGAUACCCCCGUAGUCCCUGUCUCUUAUAC